UUCGCAAUGCCCGAAAGGGUGAACGAGCGGCGCCGCGUGCGGGAUGAAGGCCUUCGGGUCGUAAACCGCUUUUGCAAGGGAAAAACUUAAUGAUGGUACCUUGCGAAUAAGAGGUUACUAACUCUGUGCCAGCAGUAGCGGUAAUACAGAGACCUCAAGCAUUGUCCGGAAUUAUUGGGCGUAAAGAGUAUCGUAGGCGGUUGGUUAUGUGGUAGGUUAAAGCCUGGAGCUCAACUCCAGAGAUGCCUAUCAAACUAGCUAACUAGAGGAAGUUUGGGGAUGCUGGAAUUCUCGGUGGAGGUGUGAAAUCCGUUGAUAUCGAGAAGAACACCAAAGGCGAAGGCAGGCAUCUAAGACUUUCCUGACGCUGAUGAACGAAAGCUAGGGGAGCAAACGGGAUUAGAUACCCCGGUAGUCCUAGCCGUAAACGAUGGGCACUAAGUAGAGGGGUUUU
rnacentral:rRNA from 1 species